CACGUAGGGCGCGAGCGUUGUCCGGAAUUAUUGGGCGUAAAGCGCGUGUAGGCGGCUUAGCAAGUCGGGCGUGAAAGCCCUCGGCUCAACCGAGGAAGUGCACCCGAAACUGCUGAGCUUGAGUGCCGGAGAGGAUGGCGGAAUUCCCCAAGUAGAGGUGAAAUUCGUAGAUAUGGGGAGGAACACCGGUGGCGAAGGCGGCCAUCUGGACGGUAACUGACGCUGAGACGCGAAAGCGUGGGGAGCAAACAGG
rnacentral:rRNA from 1 species